GAUGAACGCUGGCGGCGUGCCUAAUACAUGCAAGUCGAGCGAACAGACGAGGAGCUUGCUCCUCUGACGUUAGCGGCGGACGGGUGAGUAACACGUGGAUAACCUACCUAUAAGACUGGGAUAACUUCGGGAAACCGGAGCUAAUACCGGAUAAUAUAUUGAACCGCAUGGUUCAAUAGUGAAAGACGGUUUUGCUGUCACUAAUAGAUGGAUCCGCGCCGCAUUAGCUAGUUGGUAAGGUAACGGCUUACCAAGGCAACGAUGCGUAGCCGACCUGAGAGGGUGAUCGGCCACACUGGAACUGAGACACGGUCCAGACUCCUACGGGAGGCAGCAGUAGGGAAUCUUCCGAAAUGGGCGAAAGCCUGACGGAGCAACGCCGCGUGAGUGAUGAAGGUCUUCGGAUCGUAAAACUCUGUUAUUAGGGAAGAACAAAUGUGUAAGUAACUAUGCACGUCUUGACGGUACCUAAUCAGAAAGCCACGGCUAACUACGUG
rnacentral:rRNA from 1 species